UGAUCUUUUAUGUCCAAUCUGCUGCACUUGAAUUGCAGAAUUCAAGCCGCAUAGCACCAUCUGUUUGAUCUUGCUACUGUGCUUUUUCUAUCCAAAUUUUUACGAAAUUUUUAUGACAUCUUUGACACUUCCUAACAGUAGAUUUCCCUUUGGUUUCAUCGAAAAAUUCUCAAUAUAAACUACUGAUCUUUUAUGUCUAAUCUGCUGCACUUGAAAAUCUAUGCUGCAGAAAAUUUCAGCUGCAUAUCAUUGCCUUAAUCCAUCUAUUUGCAAUAUUUUUUGAAUGAAAUUUCUUAUACACUUCAUAGAUCAUCUUGGCUUCCAUCUAAGAUUGAUCUAUUAAGAAAUUCAUCUCUAAAAACGAUUUUAUGUUGCUGCAAAUUUUCAUCGUAACCCGCUGAAAUUUUUUGACGAUAAUUCUGCAAUUGCAACUUGCACCAAUUUCCUUGCUGUUAUACUGCCGAAAUUUUCUUGAUUAAAUUAGAUAUCCUUGCUGUCAUAUAAACUGUGAUUUUGCUAUCAAUUUCCUCCUCAAUUCUCUCAAGUUUUUGGUGAAAAUUACGUCGAGAAACCGUUGUUUCUUCGACGACAAUUCUACUCUUACAAGACAGCACAUACUUGCUGCAACUUCCACGGAUUUCUGUCAAACCUUUGCUACCAUCUACCACAGAUCCAAAACUUUCAACUACAGCCCUAAAACUCUACAAAACCACACCCUCAAACUGCACCCAAAACUGCCACAAAACAAGCCUAAAUCGUAGCCUACAUCCACCAAUCUGCCAACCCUUUUGACCAUCACUUCUCUCAACCUAUACAUGCCUUUAACCUAACAACAAAAGAGAGAUCUUAACAUCAUAGAUUUGGAGGCAUAUAUUAUGGCAUCUAAGGAGGUAAUCAAUGCUAAAUUCGAUGCCUUGGAGGCGCGAAUGGAGGAUAAGAUUCAGAUGCUCUUUACCGAACUCAGAUUGGGCCGACCACUAAGCCCGAAGAAAUCACAUCAAGGAGAGAGCUUUGCCCAAUCACACCAACC
rnacentral:lncRNA from 1 species